GUCCAUACACUCAGUUGGUAGAGCGUGAGACUCUUAACCUCAGAAUCAUGGGUUGAAGUCCCACAUUGGGAAAACA